GGCGAGUGAAGCGGCAACAGCUCAAAUUUGAAAUCUGGCCCCUAGGGUCCGAGUUGUAAUUUGUAGAGGAUGCUUUUGGUGAGGUGCCGCCCGAGUUCCCUGGAACGGGACGCCGCAGAGGGUGAGAGCCCCGUCUGGCUGGCCACCGAGCCUCUGUAAAGCUCCUUCGACGAGUCGAGUAGUUUGGGAAUGCUGCUCAAAAUGGGAGGUAUAUGUCUUCUAAAGCUAAAUAUUGGCCAGAGACCGAUAGCGCACAAGUAGAGUGAUCGAAAGAUGAAAAGCACCUUGAAAAGAGGGUUAAACAGUACGUGAAAUUGUUGAAAGGGAAGCGCUUGUGACCAGACUUGGGCGCGGCGAAUCAUCCGGGGUUCUCUCCGGUGCACUUCGCCGUGUUCAGGCCAGCAUCAGUUCGGCGCGGGGGAAAAAGGCUUCGGGAACGUGGCUGCUCCGGCAGUGUUAUAGCCCGUUGCAUAAUACCCUGCGCUGGACUGAGGACCGCGCAUCUGCAAGGAUGCUGGCGUAAUGGUCACCAGCGAC
rnacentral:rRNA from 1 species